UCUCACUUCAAAACCAUUCAACAAUAAAACCCCACACUCUCUUUUGGUUUUUGAGCAAUAUAGCUUCCCAUAGUAACUAGUAUCUUUCACUUCUUCAAUCCACAAACCUCUCUCUCUUCACGGGUAAUCAUCUCUUGCUUCUGAUUGCAAAUUAUUAUAUGCUUAUGAAGCCAAACACAGUUUUUUAGUUAAAGGUGCUAUAAUGGAUGCGAGAUUCGAAGAUGGAGAUCAUUCAAAUGUGUAGGAAGACUUAAACAUGUCUGGAGAUACAACUGCUUAAUGGUAAAAAAUUUGGUGUUAUAUCAACAAGCACAUAUAUGGAAAUAAGGAGUUUGUCAUUGUGAUUGUUGUCGGUUCAUUCCUUCACGGAAGCUAGCUAGCAUUAGCAUGGAUUGUUGAACAUGAUUGACAAAUAGCACGCGUCGCCAUUAACGGAAGCAAAGUUGAUCAUAUCGGUGAAAAAAAUUUCUGGUUAUUAACCUUGUUGAUGAUUUAAACCAAAAACCGAAGUGUAAUAAACCUUGUGAUUAUUGUAAGUUUGUUACAUUGAAAUUUCUCAUGAAAGAUAUAGAAAUUUAUCAUAUUGUUCCAACACAAUUUGGGAACUCAAUUAAGAGUAUAUUUUGCAUAAUAACAAAGAAUAUGUGAACCAAAAAUAUUCUUAAGUCCUGAAAGAUAAUAUUGAUAUUGUUCAUGAGUUAGUAUGUGUGUAUCAAUUAAGUAAGAAAAAAAUAUAUAUAAGAGAUUAAAUGUGUUAGGAAUCCGUCUGCAACUAAUUCUUGGCCGUUCAAUUUUCUCUUGUAAGUGCCAAAUAUUCACUAUAUAU